rnacentral:lncRNA from 1 species
CCCAAACAAUUCUGGAGCAUCAAAUUUUAUGUCUUUUUCAGAUCCAUCUAAACAAUUCUGGAGCAUCAGAUUGUAUAUGUAUGAAUGUAUGAUAGAUGUAAGAAGGUUUCUGAAUAAGGUGAUGAAGCUGCUUCAUCUUUUAAUAAUGUAGAUAAAUAAUAAUCAUGGAGUUCAUCUGGCUUCCCAACUUUGAAUACUGUCAUUUAUAUUGCUAUAUAUAGACCAGAGAAAGAAUAUCUUGAAUUAGUCCUCUCUAAAUUAU